UACGGAGGAUGCAAGCGUUAUCCGGAAUGAUUGGGCGUAAAGCGUCCGCAGGUGGCUGUGUAAGUCUGCUGUUAAAGAGUGAGGCUCAACCUCAUAAAAGCAGUGGAAACUACACAGCUAGAGUGCGUUCGGGGCAGAGGGAAUUCCUGGUGUAGCGGUGAAAUGCGUAGAGAUCAGGAGGAACACCGGUGGCGAAGGCGGCCCACUGGUCCGGUACUGACGCUGGAGGUGCGAAAGCGUGGGGAGCAAACAGG
rnacentral:rRNA from 1 species